CCAUCAGCCAGUCUGGGAUUCCUCCACCGAGCAUCUUCCGGGCAGAGCGCCACGCUCCCUGAGAUGGACGGGCCACGGCUGAGCCCGGAAAAUGACCCCCUGGACAGGCCCUGAGUCUACCAUUUAACCUCUCUUGAGUGGCAGCUUCUUCACCUGUGAGGCAGCCUCGUGAGGCCUGGUGCUUGUCUGCUUCUCUUAAGCCGUGUCCCAAGUGCCACAGCGGUGAUCGGAGAUCCCUGGUAGAUGCUGGAUGGAGGAGCCCCAGGGCCAGCCCCCAGCGCGCACGGGCUCCUCCUUCUCACGGAGCGCGCAGGAGCACGCCCACUCUCCAGGGAUGACACUCACGGUAAGAGCCCUUCACAAAGCCCUUGACUUUGGACCCGUUUCACCUGUGUGAUCCUCCUCGACUCCAAGGAAGGGCAAGAAUAGCCACUGCUAUGCCCUUCUUACACCUGAGACAACUAGGACACAGGACAGAUAAGCGGUCUCAGCUGGUAGGACCAGAGCUCAGGCUCUUUGCCCACCCUCUGUCUGCAGUCCAGGUGAGCAGGUGGCCAGGAGGAGCCUGGC